rnacentral:lncRNA from 1 species
UGGUGGAGGUACCAAAGCUAGGCAAAGAGGCAGCCGCAAAGGCCAUCAAGGAGUGGGGUCAGCCCAAAUCCAAGAUCACUCACCUAGUCUUCUGCACCACCAGCGGUGUUGACAUGCCCGGUGCUGACUACCAACUCACCAAGCUGCUAGGCCUCCGCCCAUCGGUGAAGCGCUUCAUGAUGUACCAACAGGGCUGCUUUGCUGGUGGCACCGUUCUGCGCCUUGCCAAGGACCUUGCCGAGAACAACAAGGGCGCCCGUGUCCUUGUUGUCUGCUCUGAGAUCACUGCUGUUACUUUCAGGGGACCUAGUGACACUCACUUGGACAGCCUUGUUGGGCAGGCACUUUUUGGCGAUGGGGCGGCCGCUGUUAUAGUUGGUUCCGACCCGAUCCCAGGGGUGGAGAAGCCCAUGUUCGAAUUGGUUUCAGCAGCCCAGACAAUCCUCCCCGACAGCGAUGGCGCCAUCGAUGGGCAUCUCCGGGAAGUGGGGCUGACCUUCCACUUACUUAAGGAUGUGCCCGGCCUCAUUUCCAAGAACAUUGAAAAAAGCCUGAAUGAGGCCUUCCAGCCUUUGGGCAUCAAGGACUGGAACUCCAUUUUCUGGAUUGCACACCCUGGUGGGCCUGCAAUCUUGGAUCAAGUUGAGGAAAAAUUAGCCCUAAAGCCCGAGAAGUUACGCUCCACACGACACGUCUUGAGCGAGUAUGGUAACAUGUCAAGUGCUUGCGUGUUGUUUAUUUUGGACGAGAUGAGGAGGAAGUCGGCUGAGGAAGGGCUGAAGACCACGGGUGAGGGGCUGGAAU